AUUCGGCUGACAGAGCAUGAGGGGGAGGAAUCACUGAUGACAGGCACUGGCCUGCCCAGCUGGGGGCCUUUGUUUAUUCAUUUGGUGGGCACUUCCUGGGUGCCUGCUCUGGGUCAGGCCUGUGGGGGGGACCACCGAGGGCAGGAAACCUGGCCUGUCCCUCCAGGAAGCGAAGUCAACACUGGCACCUGCAGAUGAAGUGGCAGAGCAGCCCCCAGCUUUGAUGGCAUGGGGUGGUUGGAGGGCACAUUCUGCAUGCUCAGAAGAGAGAGCAACUCGCCCUGUGGAAGGAGCAUACAGUGGGAGAUGGGGACAGGCCCAGUGACGAGCACCAUCCGGAAGUGAAGGCUGAUGGGUACGUGGACAACCUCGCAGAGGCAGUGGACCUGCUGCUGCAGCACGCCGACAAGUGAUGGCCUCCUGGGAGAGCCCCGCCUCCUCCACCCCUGCCUCUCCUCCACCCCUGCCUCCCCUCCAC
rnacentral:lncRNA from 10 species